rfam:Shewanella sp. P1-14-1 AN944_contig000033, whole genome shotgun sequence.
CGAGUUGGCCAGACAGUUGCUGCGUUCGCAAGAACGGGGAGGAAAGUCCGGGCUUCAAAGAGCAGGAUACCAGGUAACGCCUGGGCGGUGUAAACCGACGACAAGUGCAGCAGAGAGAAGACCGCCAACUUCGGUUGGUAAGGGUGAAAGGGUGCGGUAAGAGCGCACCGGGCCACUGGUAACAGUUGGUUGCAAGGUAAACUCUAUCCGAAGCAAGACCAAAUAGGGUCCCGUAUGGCGCUGCUCGCGUUGGGACCGGGUAGGUCGCUUGAGCCUGUGAGCGAUUGCAGGCCUAGAUGAAUAACUGUCCACGACAGGACCCGGCUUAUCGGCCAACUCACCUA